rnacentral:rRNA from 1 species
UACGUAGGUGGCAAGCGUUUGUCCGGAUUUACUGGGCGUAAAGAGCGCGCAGGCGGUCGUUCAAGUCGCGUGUGAAAGCCCCCCGGCUCAACUGGGGAGGGUCACGCGAUACUGAUCGACUCGAAGGCAGGAGAGGGUAGUGGAAUUCCCGGUGUAGUGGUGAAAUGCGUAGAUAUCGGGAGGAACACCAGUGGCGAAGGCGACUACCUGGCCUGUUCUUGACGCUGAGGCGCGAAAGCUAGGGGAGCAAAGCGGG